UUUAAGUCAUUAAACUGAGAUACCGUUUCUUUUUUGCAAAAGAAACCCUGUACUUUGGUAUAUUCAACCCGCCGUCCAUACGUCUGAUUUUAUUAUUUGGGAGCGGAUCAAAUCGGCGGCUCGAGCGGUGACGGCGGCGACGGCUCGAGCUUGCAGGGGCUGGGGGCAGAUCCGGAGGCGGGGGUCGCCGGUGACGACGAGGAAGGCGGAGCACGGGCGGAUCCAUGGCAUCCGCAGCUCCUGGGCACAAAGGAGAUAGGGAGGCCAGGGAGAGAAGAAGGAAGAAAGGAGGGGUUGUGCGGCGACCUAGCGAGGAGCUCGCCGGAGCUGGGCGAAGGCGGACUGGCGUGGGAGACGGAGGGGUCCGGCGCAGUCCUUGCAGGUGGAGGCAGGCGUCGAAGCAGAGGACGAGAGGAUCCCCAGCCUAAUUGUGGCAUGCACUCAGCUUCCCCGAUCCAUCCCCUCCUACCCAUCCGGCCCUUCCUCGAUGGCCCGCAUGCGACGAGCCCCUACGCGGGGUAAGAAGGGGGAUCGCGCGAGGUGGAGCACUCCAGCCCCCUCCUAGCCCUACCACGAAAUUUGUUGAAGCUAAAGAUGAAGAGGAACUCGUGGAAGAGGAAAAAAUGACAUGGUAGAAACUCAUUCACACAUAUCAGGGUCAUAAUGAGAGGAUUGAUCUGCUUGAUUCGCUCCUGAUGGUCGGUGGAUUGUUUCUGGUAGGGCUAAGAGUUCUGUGAAGGUAAGAUUUUGAUCCAACCUAUUAAGCAGUACCACACAAAUUACAGGAGAAUCUGUUGUUUGGUCCAACCUAUAAAGGUGCCAUAUAUGCUCAGUUGCUCACAACAGUGCUAAUAUUAACAAGGUGAAUAAACUCCUGCUCUAGCGGAAGAUAUCCUUUAUAUUUUUGGGGUCACUGAUACCUGUACAAAAACAUAAGAUGUUUUCCUAGAUAACAUCUUUCCUCCAAAAUAAUUUAUAUAUCAUCUAGACUUGGUUAGUUGUAACUUUUGCUUUCUGUUCUUUCCACACGCUUCUGUAGGUUCAAAUGACAAUUGUUAAAUUUUGGGACCUUAAGACUUUUUAGUUGAUUGCAUCCUCUAGACCGGGAGGUAUAAUAGCAUAUCCCAAUUGUCUAAUUGAUGAUUCAGAAAGCUCUGGCUCUACUCAUGUAUAUCAGUUUAUAUUCGGAUUGUGAAGUACUCCUUCUAUAAAGAAAUAUAAGAGCGUUUAGUUCUAUAAAACAUAUUUAUAUGUAGUUAUCCAACAAAUUUAUGUCCUAAAAUCUUACAACUUCUCUUAAGCUGUUUUUUUGCAGGAAAGCUGUAUUUGAUCAUAACCUUGGCUUAAAUGCAAUUUAAUUUCAACCUCAAAUUUGGUGAUUUUUUGAAUGGGCACAACUGUGUCGGUAGAGGACUAGAGGUUGACAGUUAUGAAUUUUGUGAUAAUCUUUGGUUAUACUGUUAUAUAUAGCACUUUCCAGGUUAUAUGGUUCAAAUUCUUUGAGCCAAUUCACAAUGACCAUUCCAGAUUUGGGCCUUGCAUUUUUAAAUUAUUUUGUAACAUUUUGGUUGAUCUUUGAUGCUGCUCCUUAAUUUUUUACAUUGACUGGUGUAGAACUAAAUGAGUGUUGCCAUUCAAGGGAAGCCCCAAGCUUUUAAACAGUAUAUGAAUGUUGUUAGCUUGGUCCUUCACAAAUAAGUCCCUUGAUGUGUGUCAUCUGUCAUUGCGUAUAAGAUCUGGUCUUUCUAUUUUGCAUUGAUUUUUCUUCUCCCGGUGCACUGAAUCUGCAAGGGCGUGUAGACGGUAGGAUGAGCAGCAGCAUGCCGGUGGUAAGACAGGGCGUGUUGGCGUACGCGAAAGAAGCCAUGCAUGAAUCUUCGUGGCGGAUGCUUGCUGGCCGUAGUGGCAGCACCAAUUCAAGCUGGGAGGCGGGAAGCUGGAGUAGCAGGAACGAUUGGUCGUCCAUUAGGCAUGAACCCAACUCCACUGUACUCCCUUUUCUUUCCAUAACCAAUUCUUUGGAGCAGACAUGUGGGUACAGUUACAUAGCCUGAAGAUUGUUUGCUUUUUUUGGUUAGUUCAGAUUUAGAUUUCUCAGAUAUUCACUAUUUGAUCAAUCGAUCCAUGUAGAUCUCAUUGACAUCACUACAAGAAACCUGUUAAUUCAUGACAGAUUUCGGAUGA